AACAGUGAAAUGUGAAAUUAAAUUUAUUUAUUUAUUCAUCGUUCAAAUAUAAAGAAAACAAUUACAUAUUUACUACAAUAUGUGCACAUUUCUCAACAUGAUCACCAUGAAUAGGAGAGCCAACAGUUCCUAUUUCCCCAACCAAAGAUGACAGAUGGGGCUCUUGUGGAGGGAACUUGGGUGGAGGACUCCCAAAAUGCCUUUGCCUCGAUCUUGAGAUGUACCAGCAGCCAUAAGGUUCAAUGUCAAGUGGCCUAAAUACUACUCAAAGAUACUUUGCAGUUCAAAUUUAAUUUCUCUACGCACAUCCUCACGUAACUCCUUCAUGCAUCCUUCCCAUUUGGUAUCCAAUAGAGACAUAACCGCAUGCAACUAAGCCAUCUCUUGUUGGAGUUGGCUAACAUCCUUUUAAAGCCUGGUAGUAAUCCCAUCAUCGACCAUGAGAAUCGACUGAAGCUCUGAUACCUUUGUUUUGGAACAAACUAGAAAAGCAGAAACUAACAAAGAAGAAAGGUAAAAAAGAGAGAAAUCCGAUAGAAAAAGAAGGAAAAAGAAAAAGAAGAAGGGAAAUGAAAAGAAAACAAAGAAGCAAAGAAAAUAGAAUAGCAAAAAGAGAAUUGAUAAGAAGACAAGCUGAUUAACCAAAUAUUCAAUGAAUAUGUCAUGCAUACACUGCCUUCCUUAUGUAGCUGGAAAGAAAACUAACAGCUAAUUAGUUACUACAGCUGUAAGUAUAGGUUGUCAAAACUCAUCAAUUUAGACUUGGUGCAAAAUGCACCGUAUAACUAAUCUAAGUGCACUGUUCACCUUGCUCCUAUCCCAUUUCGUUGCUAACCACCUUUAUUAGUAAACAAUUUCUCUCGUAACAAGGAAGUAAAGCAUGCGCUCAUUAGUAUGACCCAUUCGCACUGUGCUCAUGAUAAUCAACUUGUGGUUCCUAAUGCAGAAAGUUUAGAGCGGUGGUUGAUGCAGCUUUGGAAGCCCAUUCGCACUGUCCGCAACUAUAUCUUUAUUGCACAGUUGAUAAGGUCGUUCCCUAUAAGUCAAUUGAGUGUUGUAUCGAGGAGAUGAGCAAGAAAGGGAUAAAGGUAUCGUCCUUCAACUUUGGCACAUCUCCUCAUGUCGACCACUACCGGAAUUCCCUAACUUGUGCUCAUCAGAGCUUCAUACUUUCUUGAAAGAAUGUUUCCCUCUUUCUAAACAAAAAUGAACCCUCCAAUUCCUUCAAUCACUUUGUUGUUGUUGUAUGCGGAUAUUCCUUUGGAAAUAAACCUUUUCCUGGGCAUGAAAUUGUACUUUUUAUCAAGCUGAUGCUAAGAGAUCACUGCCGAACACUAAUAAAUUGCGCGUCUUGCAUGCUAAAGCUUCAAAAAGAUCUCUUAUUUUGAAUGUAUUUGGUUCUUUGAACUUCAUUGCUGUUUUAGACCUCUACUCGAUCUAUUGAAUAUAAAGAAAUAGAAACGAUUUUGAGAAUGGGUUAGGGAAAAGCAUUGAUAACUCAAAUUUUAAUUUAAUCUCAGAGUCCAGUUUCUUUGUGAUAUUUUUUCCUCAUUUUCUCAAUAAUACCAAUGUGAAGAAAAAAAUGUAAAAUUAAUACAUCAAGCCUUCAACAAGUUACCUUUAUAUGCUUGGUAUAGAGAGUUUGGGGCAUCUGAUUGAUCAUGUGGUUAUGUCUGGCCAGUGGGAUAGUGGUUUCAAGGUGGAAUAAAACAAUGCAUUGUUGAUGGAGACGUUACAGAAGGGGAAUGGUGAUUCCAAUGUCUUAGCUGAGAUCCAUCAGCUUCGAAACCUCUGCAGUAGGAAAUGAAAGUUAACUUCGCGCCAUGUGAAACGUGAGGUGAACAGAUGUGCUGACAGUAUUGCAAGGAUAGGGAGAAAUCUUGAUGCAAGUAUGGUGAUUUUUAGCCAACCGCCUCUGGGUGGUUCAAUGUCUGAUACAGGAUAAUAUAGGGAGUCAAGAACAGAUGGUGAUAGUCUGUUU
rnacentral:lncRNA from 1 species